UACGUAGGGGGCAAGCGUUGUCCGGAUUUAUUGGGCGUAAAGAGCGUGUAGGCGGCUUGGUAAGUCCGCUGUGAAAGUCCAGGGCUCAACCCUGGAAUGCCGGUGGAAACUGUCAAGCUUGAGUCCGGUAGGGGAGUGUGGAAUUCCCGGUGUAGCGGUGAAAUGCGCAGAUAUCGGGAGGAACACCAGUGGCGAAGGCGGCACUCUGGGCCGGUACUGACGCUGAGGAGCGAAAGCGUGGGGAGCGAACAGG
rnacentral:rRNA from 1 species